GGGUCAAUGAUGACAACCCAAUGUCAUGAAGAGAGGUGAUGACAUCAAAAUAAUCCUGUAGGUGUACGCUGAGGCCG